UUUUACAUACUUUCAGAUGUUGAAAAAACGUAUAUAUACGUUUGGACCAUUUAAGCUGUAUAGCCCUUGUGGCUUAGUGCUUCUUUUUGAUUAUAAUAAUAAUAAUUGGACCAUUUAAGGACUAGACAUUUCAACAUGCCAGCCAUAUCCCACCAAGGCAGGGUGACCUAAAAAGAAAAACAAAAGUUUUUCUUUUAAAUUUAGUAAUUUAUGCAGAAGGGGUCACUAGCCCCUUGCUCCCGUUUAUCUAGACACACGUAUGGUAAUUUAUAGAUGGGUGGGGCAAGUGAAUGGUAAAACUCCAGGCCAGUGUGUUAACUAGGUCAGCUGGUUACAAUAAGAUUCAUCCAACUUGGUAUAUUUGCGGUCGUGUUAUUAUGAUUUUGAGUUAUGGUAAUUUAUAUUUUUCACUUUUAUUCUCCAUCCUUAACAUCAAAUUAUUUAUUCCAUUCAAAAUGGCAUUGUGGUCAUGCUAACACAUUUACUGGUAGUAAAAAUUCCUAGCUCCUGGGCCAAGUGGAACAAUUUAGACAAAGCUUCCUCACUUCAUGUGUUUCUGGAGUAAUUGAACAUUUGACUUGUUGCAUUAUUAAUUCGUUUCUUUGCAGUUGUGUUGCAUUUGGAUAUAAGUUGAUUAAGUCUAUAAUCUAAAAAAAACUGGUGUACAUGUACUUGGGCAUUAAAAUACAUAAUCUGAAGAGGGAAAAUAUCUUUUAGUUUGCAAGAAAUAUGAUGAGAAAAUCCACCCCAAAAAAAUUAAAAAUCUUUCAGCCCUUAAACUGAAAUGCUGCAAUACGUAUGUCAUUUCUUCCAUUUCUUCUUUGUGAGCUUUAUUUAAUGUUUGGGAUUACCUCCUAACAUCAUCAUUUAAAGACGCACUAUUUAACGAUUCUUUUUCCAUUGAUUUUUUGUACAAGUUUAUUGGAGUCCAUGGUGGACGUAAAGUGGUGGUGGGUGUCCGGUCUAAAGACUAUUACCUGGAGUUUACCUGGAGUUUACCGUACUAACAAAACACAGAAAGAAAACAUCCCAGUUUCAUAUAAAUUACCUUUGAAACCCCAAUGGAAAUAAUCACUGACUUUUUUGGGGGGAUUAUAUGUUACUAGGUAUGAUAAUUGCACUUAAGUGUACCUGUACCUAAAUAAACUUACUUGCCAUAUAUUACCGUUCAGAAGUCCCACACCAUAAAUAAUAACACAUGUAACCCCAGGUAUAAGACAAUGUAUAUUUUCAGUCUUUGUAAAUCAGAGUAUCUUCUGCAUCAGUAAUCAUAUAAGUGUUUCGUUAUCCCAUGAGGAUGCUGAUGAUAAUGUUUAUAUAUAAAUUGUUUAUCAUCAUGGGAGUCACGAGACUAAACAGAUAAGACUAAUUAGAUAUAUCAUUCAUAUCUUCUGCAUCAUCAAGGUUAUAGACUGAAGAUGAUGAAGAAAAUGUGAAAAAGAAAAAAUCACAAUACCGUUACUGGGACAAUACACAAAUAACCCGCACGGAGAAGAGAAAAGCUAUGACGACAUUUUGGUCUAACUUGGAUCAUUUACAAGCGACAAUGUGACUUGUCAAUAGUUUAAGUCUAACCAAAACAUCGUCAUAAACUUUUCUCUCUCCUGUCUGCGUUUUUCUUUUUUGUGUAAAGAAAAUUUAUAUAUACAAAUUAUUCCACCUUGAGUGUCAUAAGUUGUGGUUGCCUCUGUGUGUGAGAGACUCCAGAAGUGGCAAUAUCAUAUUUCUAUGAUGAUAAUUUAAAUUUCAAGUUCACUUUUUAUAAUGCAGCCCACCAAUUAAUUUCAACUCGGCAGUAUCAUUUCUGUACCUGAAUAUAUACUCAACAGUAAUACUUAUAUUGUUGGUGUAAAUGACGUAUAAGGAUGAACCAUACCCCGGCCGGGAUUCAACCCGCGGUCAUAGAGUCUCAAAACUCCAGCCCGUCGCGUUAACCACUAGACCAGCUAGCUAGUCUAGUGGCUAACACGACGGGCUGGAGUUUUGAGACUCUCUGACCGCGGGUUCAAUCCCGGCCGGGAUAUGGUUUGUUUGCAAUCGUGUCAUUACGAUUUCGUGAGUCACGUAUAAGGAUGACUUGAGUAGGGAAGAAUCUGUCCUCCGUAAGCCAAGUGUGUUGUAAGAGGCGUCUACAAUGCCAGGAGCAAAGGGCUAUUAACCUCUUCUUUAUAAAUUACUAAAUGGAAAAAGAUGUAAAUCUAUUUCUCUUCUUUUUCUGGGUCACACUGCCUCAGCAUAUAUAACAGCUUAAAUUUAUUUAUUUUAUUUUCAUCAACAGGAGUCGCUAAAUCCGCAGGGGGUCACACAGCGUCUAUGUGGGUAUAUUUCUUCACUCCUCCCUCACUCCCAUCUCUAAUUUCUCUUAUUAUUGAAAAUGAGAGGAAAAUUAUAUUUCAGGUUUUAGUUAACCUUAAGCUGUCCAAACGUAGACCUAUAUAUUGUUUUUUUUUUUUUUGCAUAGGAAAGCAAGUAAAAUCGAAAGUAGAUCUACGUUCGGAGCGCUACGCAUAUGAACGUAGAUCUACAUUCGGAGCGCUACACACAUGAACAUAGAUCUACGUUCGGAGCGCUAUGCACAUGAAUGUAGAUCUACGUUCGGAGCGCUAAGCACAUGAACGUAGAUCUACAUUUGGAGCGCUACGCACAUGAACGUAGAUCUACGUUCGGAGUGCUACGCACAUGAACGUAGAUCUACGUUCGGAGAGCUAUGCACAUGAACGUAGAUCUACGUUCGGAGCGCUACGCACAUGAACGUAGAUCUACAUUCGGAGCGCUAUGCACAUGAACAUAGAUCUACGUUUGGACAGUUUAAUGGAUAAAUAAAAUGAAUAUGAAUUAAAUAGUUUAUGUAUACAGUAGUAAGUUGUCGUUCCAGCUUCCAAUAAACUUUCAACUCUACAAACAGCAAGUUGGUGAUAAUAGUUUGAAAUCUUUUUUAUAUAUUAUCAUUUUUUUUUUCAUAUUUUUAGGGUGGUUCGUGCUUAUAAGAUGAAGGAGAUUACUCUGGGCAUAUUUAUUUAAUUAAAAAUGUUUGAUAAUAUGCAGCAGUGGAAAAUUUCCUCUGGUUAUUCAAACUUUUGCUCACUUUAGAAUUUGGUUGAAAAUUUUUGAGAUAUUAAAUCAAAUAUUUGAAGCAUUUUGAUGGAGAAACUCAGCAUUGUAACUGUGGUAAAAAUGUCUUACAACAAUCCAGAAACUAUGUACUGUAUAUAAAAAUAUAAAAAUAAAACAUAAAAAUGUUAGAAAAAUUAAAAAUAUUUUUGAUUUGCAUAAAUAUUUGUAGUUUUUAAAGCACUGUUUAUUGUAGUCGAAUUUGUUCUCGCUGUCAGCAACGCAUCAUAUACAGUAGUCCUCCUGUAUCUGUGGGGAAUGUGUUCCAACACCUACCGCAAAUAGCAACUGACCCUAUACAUAUGUCGUUUUUGUUUACAUACAUACCCAUGAUAACGUUUGAUAGAUUACACACGAUAAGUGGAGAAUUAGCACCACACGAUAAGUGGAGAAUUAGCACCACACGAUAAGUGGGAGAAUUAGCACUUUUUCACUGAUGGGAAGCACUUCACAGCUUCUCUUAGGCUUUGAAGAACUGCCACCAUCACUACUUUUGCACUUUUGGGCUAUUAUUAAGCAAAAUUAAUUUUUUUUGGGGCCAUGGUAAACUGUGGAUAAUUGAAACCACAGAUACAAGGGUUCUACUGUACAGAUACCUUCCUCCGUGCUUGUUUUUGGGAGGAGAUCGUCACCCCUGCAGCCUGGCUCUAGACGUGGCCCCCUGUUUGAUGAUCAAUCAAGGUGUUGGUUCUAAACCAUACCCCCGGCUGGGAUUGAACCCGCGGUCAUAGAGUCUCAAAACUCCAGCCCGUCACGUUAGCCACUAGGCUGGAGUUUUGAGACUCUAUGACCGCGGGUUCAAUCCCAGCCGGGGGUAUGGUUUAUUUGCAAUCGUGUCAUUACGAUUUCUUGAGUCGUGUUGGUUCUAGUAUCACACAGUCCAGCAUAAGCACUACAGUUUGCUUCAUUGUGAAUUAGCUAGAAGAACUUAAAUGUUUUAUACUGAAAACAGUUAGGGGUUUAUUAGUAAAUUUCCUUUACAAAAAGAUUUAUGUUGAAAAUGUUAUUAAAUACCGACAAGUUAAUGAUUAAGACGUGCAACAGUUGUUUAUCUUUAUUGAUGAACAGCGCUGUGUGGCCCUUGUGGUUUAGAGCUUCUUUUUUUAUUAUAAUUUAUUGAUGAAAUGUAUUGCCUACACAGUAAGCUUCUUCAGUCAGAUAUGGAGGCAGCAGGUGUAGUAGUGAAGUGAAGACGCAAUCAGUCCCACAACCUUGGAGAAAUAGACAUACCACAAGUGGGGUUUGAACCCGCGAUCAGAGAGUCUCAGACCUCCAGAUCGAUCAUGGGUUCGAACCCCACUUGUGGUACGGUUUGUUUGCAAUCAUGUCAUUACGAUUUCAUAAGUCAUGGAGAAAUAGUAUUGAAGGCUGAGGGACUGACAAUCUCAAAUAUUAUUUCUCCAAGGUUGAGGGACUGAUUACAUCAUCUUUCUACUGUAAUUUCUGCCUCUGUAAUUGACUGAAGAAAUUUGCAGUUCAUCAGUGAAGAUGCUAACUGUGGACAUGUCUUAAUCAUCAAGAAAAAGAGUUGAAAAUUCUUUAUUAAAUUUAUUAAAAGAAAAAAACUAAAUUAUUAAAACUGACUAAUGUAUAUCAAAAGAUUAUUUUGUUAGAGGUAAAAUAUAAAUGUCAAUGAAACUGGAUACCUAUUGCGAAAUUAUUUAUUUGUAAUUACACGGUUCGUAAAGUUGGAAGGUAUAUAGUGUGCGAGCCGUGAUGGUUUUUUUUUUCAGUUUCCAUACGUUAGUUGAAUUCUAAGUGCGGCCAACAGUAACAGCCUGGUUGAUCAGGUCCUGAUCCACCAUGAAGCCUGGUCACAGACCGGGCCGCAGGGGCAUUGACCCCCAAAGCCCUCGCAAGGUAUACUCCAGGUAAGUAGGCCUUUUAUACCCUAGCAGCAUAAAAUGUCAAGAAAUAUUAGUAACAUUGAAAUCAGAUUUACAGGAAUCUCUCUUCUAUAUACCACUCUGUAUAGUGAUUUUUUUUUUUUUGUAAAUGUAAUUAGGAAAUUAUAUUUAAAAUUAAACAUUGCGUACUAUGAAGGCCAUUCCAUGAACUAUAUAAUUUUCUUGUACUUUUUUCAUUUGCAAAAAAAUCACUAAAUAGAGGCGUCUUAUAUGGGAACUGUCUGUCCAAAAAGUAAUCAACUUUGUUUGGUUAUUGCACUGUACUACAGUGACACUGUAACAUGGUCCUAUGUGACAUGCACUGUACUACAGUGACACUAACAUGGUCCUAUGUGACAUGCACUGUACUACAGUGACACUGUAACAUGGUCCUAUGUGACAUGCACUGUACAACAGUGACACUGUAACAUGGUCCUAUGUGACAUGCACUGUACUACAGUGACACUGUAACAUGGUCCUACGUGACAUGCACUGUACUACAGUGACACUGUAACAUGGUCCUAUGUGACAUGCACUGUACUACAGUGACACUGUAACAUGGUCCUAUGUGACAUGCACUGCACUACAGUGACACUGUAACAUGGUCCUACGUGACAUGCACUGCACUACAGUGACACUGUAACAUGGUCCUACGUGACAUGCACUGCAGUACAGUGACACUGUAACAUGGUCCUACGUGACAUGCACUGCACUACAGUGACACUGUAACAUGGUCCUACGUGACAUGCACUGCACUACAGUGACACUGUAACAUGGUCCUAUGUGACAUGCACUGCACUACAGUGACACUGUAACAUGGUCCUAUGUGACAUGCACUACACUACAGUGACACUGUAACAUGAAAGUCCUACAUGACAUGCACUGCACUACAGUGACACUGUAACAUGAAGGUCCUACAUGACAUGCACUGCACUACAGUGACACUGUAACAUGAAGGUCCUACAUGACAUGCACUGCACUACAGUGACACUGUAACAUGAAGGUCCUAUGUGACAUGCACUGCACUACAGUGACACUGUAACAUGAAGGUCCUAUGUGACAUGCACUACACUACAGUGACACUGUAACAUGAAGGUCCUACAUGACAUGCACUGCACUACAGUGACACUGUAACAUGAAGGUCCUAUGUGACAUGCACUACACUACAGUGACACUGUAACAUGAAGGUCCUACAUGACAUGCACUGCACUACAGUGACACUGUAACAUGAAGGUCCUAUGUGACAUGCACUGCACUACAGUGACACUGUAACAUGAAGGUCCUAUGUGACAUGCACUACACUACAGUGACACUGUAACAUGAAGGUCCUAUGUGACAUACACUGCACUACAGUGACACUGUAACAUGAAGGUCCUAUGUGACAUGCACUGCACUACAGUGACACUGUAACAUGAAGGUCCUACGUGACAUGCACUACAGUGACACUGUAACAUGAAGGUCCUACAUGACAUGCACUACACUACAGUGACACUGUAACAUGAAGGUCCUACGUGACAUGCACUACACUACAGUGACACUAACAUGAAGGUCCUACGUGACAUGCACUGCACUACAGUGACACUGUAACAUGAAGGUCCUACGUGACAUGCACUGCACUACAGUGACACUGUAACAUGAAGGUCCUACGUGACAUGCACUACAGUGACACUGUAACAUGAAGGUCCUACAUGACUUGCACUACACUACAGUGACACUGUAACAUGAAGAUCCUACGUGACAUGCACCACACUACAGUGGCACUGUAACAUAAAGAUCCUACAUGACAUUCACCGCACUACAGUGACACUGUAACAUAAAGGUCCUACGUGACAUGCACUACACUACAGUGACACUGUAACAGUUAAUCAUCCUACAUGACAUAACAGUCGAUGAUCCUAAGUCAUGUCUUUCUAUAACAAUAACCACAUACGACCUGCUCAGCAUCUAGUACAGUGGACCCCCGCAUGACGAUCACCUCCGAAUGCGACCAAUUAUGUAAGUGUAUUUAUGUAAGUGCGUUUGUACGUGUAUGUUUGGGGGUCUGAAAUGGACUAAUCUACUUCACAAUAUUCCUUAUGGGAACAAAUUCGGUCAGUACUGGCACCUGAACAUACUUCUGGAGGGAAAUAAUAUUGUUAACCGGGGGUCCACUGUACUGGGUAGCUAAUGUCCCUUCCUGCAGUGUUUUAUCAAGACAAUUUUAGUCCCCCCCAAAACGGACCUAGAUAUUUACACCUACGUACUAGGACUUCACCUCUGGUAUCUUACAUUGUGUAUAUGUUAAUUUUUACGUAAAGUAAGAAAGUGGACGUAUAGUAAUGCUUAAAUAAGAAUUUAGGUACAAUAGCUAGUUAAUAUUCUUUACAAACACAAAAAAAAAUGUUGACUCUUGUUGCAGGAUGUUCAUGUACUGUAUAGCACAAAAUUUUUGUGAAAAUCUAGAUAGUAAAAUCGACAUUGAUUUAAUUAAGUCUAAACGUGCCCAUUAUUUUGCAUCAAAUUUCCAAAAUAUAAUAAAGUAUUCAUACGUGAACUUCCCGAAAACAAAAUAUGAUAAGUUCCCAUCUAUAGGUCACUUUGAACUUGUGUAUAUUACAUCCUAUGUUGAAUAAACUUUUUAUAUUACAUAGAGAA